CCUAACACAUGCAAGUCGAGCGGUAGCACAGAGAGCUUGCUCUCGGGUGACGAGCGGCGGACGGGUGAGUAAUGUCUGGGAAACUGCCUGAUGGAGGGGGAUAACUACUGGAAACGGUAGCUAAUACCGCAUAAUGUCGCAAGACCAAAGUGGGGGACCUUCGGGCCUCAUGCCAUCAGAUGUGCCCAGAUGGGAUUAGCUAGUAGGUGGGGUAACGGCUCACCUAGGCGACGAUCCCUAGCUGGUCUGAGAGGAUGACCAGCCACACUGGAACUGAGACACGGUCCAGACUCCUACGGGAGGCAGCAGUGGGGAAUAUUGCACAAUGGGCGCAAGCCUGAUGCAGCCAUGCCGCGUGUGUGAAGAAGGCCUUCGGGUUGUAAAGCACUUUCAGCGGGGAGGAAGGCGUUAAGGUUAAUAACCUUGGCGAUUGACGUUACCCGCAGAAGAAGCACCGGCUAACUCCGUGCCAGCAGCCGCGGUAAUACGGAGGGUGCAAGCGUUAAUCGGAAUUACUGGGCGUAAAGCGCACGCAGGCGGUCUGUCAAGUCGGAUGUGAAAUCCCCGGGCUCAACCUGGGAACUGCAUUCGAAACUGGCAGGCUAGAUCUUGUAGAGGGGGUAGAAUUCCAGGUGUAGCGGUGAAAUGCUAGAGAUCUGGAGGAAUACC
rnacentral:rRNA from 2 species